rnacentral:rRNA from 1 species
GACGAACGCUGGCGGCGUGCUUAACACAUGCAAGUCGAACGGAAAGUCCCUGCUUUUGUGGGGUGCUCGAGUGGCGAACGGAUGAGUAACCCGUGGGUAAGCUGCCCUUGACUUUGGGCUAACUUCAGGAACCUGGGGCUAGUACCGCAAAGGAGCUACUGCGGCAUGGGGGGGGUUGGCGUGUGUGGGCGGUGGGGGAUGGGCUCGCGGCUUCUGAGCUUGUAGGUGGUGUCGUGGCUUACCAAGGCUUUGACGGGUAGCCGGCGUGAGAGGGGGACCGGCCACAUUGCGACGGAGGUACGGCCCAGACUCCUACGGGAGGCAGCAGCGGGGAAGAAUGCACAACGGGCGGAAGCAUGAUGCAGGAACGACGCGUCGGGGAGGAAGGCGUUCGGGGUGUAAUGCGCUUCUGUCCGUGACGAAGAGUGAGUGACGGUAAUGGGUAAAGAAGCACCGGCUAACUACGUG